AUCAUUUAAAUUUUUGACACAAAAAUCAGCUGACUGAACUUUUUUGUUUUAUAUUCUAGACGGUAUUAUAACACUGACCAAAAAAGCAGGAAUUUUGUUACAUGUUUCUUUAGGACUUAGGACGGUUGACAAUCUAAAGGGUUACGGUGGAUGUAAUAAUACUUCGGACUUAGAUGAUCACAGAUAUGCAGAAGACGACUAGACGAAAUUAAGAACACAAUUUGACACAUUAUAGACUAUAUUUCGACUCGACGUAUAGGGUUUGACUGAUUUCAUUACAACAUCGAAUGGAAGCUCAAAAAGUGUUACCUAACACUAAUAUGAGAGUUAUUUGGGGAUGAUGCUGGUGCUGUCAAUGACCAACAUCGGUUAUUGACACUAUUGGUAAUCAGCUUGAAAUAAUUUUCAGAAUGUAUUGUAAAAAACUUAGGUUAUUAUUUGAUUUAUUGUUUAGAGAUGCUAGUUGCCCAUAUCGGCUAAAAACGCUAGCUCUGGCAGCUGUCUCCGAAUAAUUUUCAAAAAUAUCAAACCUGUAAACAUUAGCUAUGACAAAUUUUUUGCUCUUCUUUGUAAUAUUUCUCAGGAAUAGUGCCUUGAAGGCGUUAACAUGUACAGCUUUUUUUCUCUCUGAAUGUUGUCCAGUGAUCUCGGAGAUUUUCGAUUAUUGGAAUAUUGUUCAAUUAUCAUAUCAUCUUUGGAGCUUCCAUUGGGUCAAAACAAUAGUGCGAUGGGAAUAGUUAAAACACAGUAAUUUUAAAAACUACUACGACCCAAUACUAAUUACUACACACUUUGCUCAAGUUGACGACAUCGUCUAGUCCAUCGUGGGUAUUGGUACUAGUAGGGGGAAAGUUGGGAAAGGGUCCAGGCUUUGCUAUCAGCUGUCAUGCAGCUCCACCUGAUCACUCUACAAAAAAAAAGAA